AACCUCUGCAAUAGGCGAAAGCUUGACAGGGUUACUCUGAGUGAUUUCCGUUAAGGAGAUCUUUUGGCACCUCUAAAAAUGGUGCAGAAUAAGGGGUGGGCAAGUCUGGUGUCAGCCGCCGCGGUAAUACCAGCACCCCGAGUGGUCGGGACGUUUAUUGGGCCUAAAGCAUCCGUAGCCGGUUCUACAAGUCUUCCGUUAAAUCCACCUGCUUAACAGA
rnacentral:rRNA from 1 species